GUGGGGAAUAUUGGACAAUGGGCGCAAGCCUGAUCCAGCCAUGCCGCGUGAGUGAUGAAGGCCUUAGGGUUGUAAAGCUCUUUCAGUGGGGACGAUAAUGACGGUACCCACAGAAGAAGCCCCGGCUAACUUCGUGCCAGCAGCCGCGGUAAUACGAAGGGGGCUAGCGUUGUUCGGAUUUACUGGGCGUAAAGCGCACGUAGGCGGAUCGUUAAGUCGGGGGUGAAAUCCUGGAGCUCAACUCCAGAACUGCCUUCGAUACUGGCGAUCUUGAGUCCGGAAGAGGUGAGUGGAACUCCUAGGGUAGAGGUGGAAUUCGUAGAUAUUAGGAAGAACACCAGUGGCGAAGGCGGCUCACUGGUCCGGUACUGACGCUGAGGUGCGAAAGCGUGGGGAGCAAACAGGAUUAGAAACCCCAGUAGUCC
rnacentral:rRNA from 1 species